rnacentral:rRNA from 1 species
GGGGAAUUUUGGACAAUGGGGGCAACCCUGACCCAGCCAUGCCGCGUGCAGGAAGAAGGCCCUAUGGGUUGUAAACUGCUUUAGCCAGGGGCUAAACCUACCGAUGCGUUGGUAGCUGAAGGUACCUGGAGAAUAAGCAUCGGCUAACUCCGUGCCAGCAGCCGCGGUAAUACGGAGGAUGCGAGCGUUAUCCGGAUUUACUGGGUUUAAAGGGUGCGCAGGCGGUUGUUUAAGUCAGGGGUGAAAGCCCUAUGCUCAACAUAGGGAUUGCCUUUGAUACUGAACGGCUAGAGUGAAGAUGGAGUGGGUGGAAUGUGUUGUGUAGCGGUGAAAUGCAUAGAUAUAACACAGAACACCGAUCGCGAAGGCAGCUCACUAAUUUUCAACUGACGCUCAUGCACGAAAGCGUGGGGAUCAAAC